rnacentral:rRNA from 1 species
AUUGAACGCUGGCGGCAUGCUUUACACAUGCAAGUCGAACGGUAACAGGUCUUCGGAUGCUGACGAGUGGCGAACGGGUGAGUAAUACAUCGGAACGUGCCUAGUAGUGGGGGAUAACUACUCGAAAGAGUAGCUAAUACCGCAUGAGAUCUACGGAUGAAAGCAGGGGACCUUCGGGCCUUGUGCUACUAGAGCGGCUGAUGGCAGAUUAGGUAGUUGGUGGGGUAAAGGCUUACCAAGCCUGCGAUCUGUAGCUGGUCUGAGAGGACGACCAGCCACACUGGGACUGAGACACGGCCCAGACUCCUACGGGAGGCAGCAGUGGGGAAUUUUGGACAAUGGGCGAAAGCCUGAUCCAGCAAUGCCGCGUGCAGGAUGAAGGCCCUCGGGUUGUAAACUGCUUUUGUACGGAACGAAAAGCCUGGGGCUAAUAUCCCCGGGUCAUGACGGUACCGUAAGAAUAAGCACCGGCUAACUACGUGCCAGCCGCCGCAGUAAAAC